UGGGACAGAAGUGGGGGAGCUCGGCACCCCCGAAAGGUCGACCAUGGCAGCCACGACAGUCGAGGAAGUCUCGACUGGAGGAAGACUGACAGCAGCUUUAGAAGGCCCAGCUUCGUCAUCGGAUGCCUCAUCCAGGAAGCCGAGGUCUAGCUCGAGAAACUUUCUGACCACCUUCUCUUGACAGAGCUCAAAGCCCUUGAUGAAGGCAGCCUGGGCAAACUCGACCUUCAGAUCCCUCAUCUCGGAGGAGGUUUUGAACUCCUCCA
rnacentral:lncRNA from 1 species